AGAGUUUGAUCCCAGCUCAGGAUGAACGCUAGCGGUGCGCUUAACACAUGCAAGUCGUGCGAUCGAGCCGGGUCAAUCACCCUUCGGGGUGUGCGAACCGGUGACGGAGCGGCGGACUGGUGAGUAACGCGUAGUCAACUUACCCUCUUGACGAGGACAACCACUCGAAAGGGUGGCUAAUACUCGAUAUUGUUGCGGAUUGAUGGAUCCGUUUCCAAAGGCGGUUCUGCCGUCGCAAGGGGAUGGGGCUGCGUCCUAUUAGCUUGUUGGUAGGGUAACGGCCUACCAAGGCAAUGAUGGGUAGCUGGUCUGAGAGGAUGAUCAGCCACAUUGGGACUGAGAUACGGCCCAGACUCCUACGGGAGGCAGCAGUGGGAAUAUUGGACAAUGGGGGAAACCCUGAUCCAGCGACACCGCGUGGGGGAUGAAGGCUUUCGGGUUGUAAACCCCUUUUCUGGGGGAAGAAUAAGUUCGAGAGGAAAUGCUCGAGCGAUGACGGUACUCCAGGAAUAAGCAUCGGCAAACUUCGUGCCAGCAGCCGCGGUAAGACGAAGGAUGCUAGCGUUAUCCGGAAUUACUGGGCGUAAAGAGCGUGUAGGCGGUUUAGCAAGUCAGAUGUGAAAGCCCUGGGCUCAACCCGGGAAGUGCAUUUGAAACUGCUUCACUAGAGUAUGGGAGAGGAGAUUGGAAUUCCUGGUGUAGAGGUGAAAUUCGUAGAUAUCAGGAGGAACACCCGUGGCGAAGGCGAUUCUCUGGACCAAUACUGACGCUGAGACGCGAAAGCGUGGGGAGCAAACAGGAUUAGAUACCCUGGUAGUCCACGCCGUAAACGAUGAGAACUAGGUGUAGUGGGUAUUGACCCCUGCUGUGCCGAAGUCAACGCAUUAAGUUCUCCGCCUGGGGAGUACGGCCGCAAGGCUAAAACUCAAAGGAAUUGACGGGGGCCCGCACAAGCGGUAGAGCAUGUGGUUUAAUUCGACGCAACGCGAAGAACCUUACCUGGGUUUGACAUCCUUUGACCGUCUGGGAAACCAGAUUUUUCCGGUUUUGCCGGAACAGAGUGACAGGUGCUGCAUGGCUGUCGUCAGCUCGUGUCGUGAGAUGUUGGGUUAAGUCCCGCAACGAGCGUAACCCUUGUCUUUAGUUGCCAUUAUUAAGUUAGGCACUCUAAAGAGACUGCCUCGGUUAACGGGGAGGAAGGUGGGGAUGACGUCAAGUCCUCAUGGCCUUUAUAUCCAGGGCUACACACGUGCUACAAUGGGCUGUACAAAGGGUUGCUAUCCCGCGAGGGGGCGCUAAUCCCAAAAAGCAGUUCUCAGUUCGGAUUGAAGUCUGCAACUCGACUUCAUGAAGGUGGAAUCGCUAGUAAUCGUGGAUCAGCAUGCCACGGUGAAUACGUUCCCGGGCCUUGUACACACCGCCCGUCACACCACGAAAGUCGACUGUACCAGAAGUUGCUGGGCUAACCCGCAAGGGAGGCAGGUACCUAAGGUACGGCCGGUAAUUGGGGUGAAGUCGAACAAGGUA
rnacentral:rRNA from 1 species